rnacentral:rRNA from 1 species
AGAGUUUGAUCCUGGCUCAGGAUGAACGCUAGCGACAGGCCUAACACAUGCAAGUCGAGGGGCAGCGGAGAGGUAGCAAUACCUUUGCCGGCGACCGGCGCACGGGUGAGUAACACGUAUGCAAUCCACCUGUAACAGGGGGAUAACCCGGAGAAAUCCGGACUAAUACCCCAUAAUAUGGGCGCUCCGCAUGGAGAGUCCAUUAAAGAGAGCAAUUUUGGUUACAGACGAGCAUGCGCUCCAUUAGCCAGUUGGCGGGGUAACGGCCCACCAAAGCGACGAUGGAUAGGGGUUCUGAGAGGAAGGUCCCCCACAUUGGAACUGAGACACGGUCCAAACUCCUACGGGAGGCAGCAGUGAGGAAUAUUGGUCAAUGGUCGGCAGACUGAACCAGCCAAGUCGCGUGAGGGAAGACGGCCCUACGGGUUGUAAACCUCUUUUGUCGGAGAGUAAAGUACGCUACGUGUAGCGUAUUGCAAGUAUCCGAAGAAAAAGCAUCGGCUAACUCCGUGCCAGCAGCCGCGGUAAUACGGAGGAUGCGAGCGUUAUCCGGAUUUAUUGGGUUUAAAGGGUGCGUAGGCGGCACGCCAAGUCAGCGGUGAAAUUUUCGGGCUCAACCCGGACUGUGCCGUUGAAACUGGCGAGCUAGAGUGCACAAGAGGCAGGCGGAAUGCGUGGUGUAGCGGUGAAAUGCAUAGAUAUCACGCAGAACCCCGAUUGCGAAGGCAGCCUGCUAGGGUGCGACAGACGCUGAGGCACGAAAGCGUGGGUAUCGAACAGGAUUAGAUACCCUGGUAGUCCACGCAGUAAACGAUGAAUACUAACUGUUUGCGAUACAAUGUAAGCGGUACAGCGAAAGCGUUAAGUAUUCCACCUGGGGAGUACGCCGGCAACGGUGAAACUCAAAGGAAUUGACGGGGGCCCGCACAAGCGGAGGAACAUGUGGUUUAAUUCGAUGAUACGCGAGGAACCUUACCCGGGCUCAAAC